GCGUNGACUCCAAUUGAACGCAGGCUUCACCCCUUGUGGUGCUCCCCCGCCAAUCCUUUAGUUCAUACUUGCGUACGUACUUCCCAGGCGGCAGACUUAACGGCUUCCCUGCGGCACUGCAUUGGCCACAAGCCAAUGCAUCACCGAGUCUGCAUCGUUUACAGCUGGGACUACCCGGGUAUCUAAUCCGGUUUGCUCCCCCAGCUUUCAUCCCUCACCGUCGAACGUGUUCUGGUACACCGCCUUCGCCACAGGUGGUCUUCAAUAGAUCAAAGGAUUUUACCCCUUCCUAUCGAGUACCGUGUACCUCUCCCACUCCCUAGCUGCACAGUAUUUUCGGCGGCCUAUACGUUAAGCGCAUAGAUUUAACCGAAAACUUAUGCAACCGGCUACGGAUGCUUUAGGCCCAAUAAACCUCCUGACCACUCGAGGUGCUGGUUUUACCGCGGCGGCUGACACCAGAACUUGCCCACCCCUUAUUCACCAGUGAUUCUACAACUGACAAAAGACUCCUUUAGCAGGAGACACUCGGAUUAACCUUGUCCUGCUUUCGCACAUUGCGAAGGUUUCUCGCCCUGU
rnacentral:rRNA from 1 species